rnacentral:rRNA from 1 species
UACGGAGGGAGCUAGCGUUGUUCGGAAUUACUGGGCGUAAAGCGCGCGUAGGCGGCUUUGUAAGUUAGAGGCGAAAGCCCGGAGCUCAACUCCGGAACUGCCUUUAAAACUGCAUCGCUUGAAUCCAGGAGAGGUGAGUGGAAUUCCGAGUGUAGAGGUGAAAUUCGUAGAUAUUCGGAAGAACACCAGUGGCGAAGGCGGCUCACUGGACUGGUAUUGACGCUGAGGUGCGAAAGCGUGGGGAGCAAACAGG